rnacentral:misc_RNA from 1 species
GAUGAAGAACGUAGUGAAAUGCGAUAAGUAAUGUGAAUUGCAGAAUUCAGUGAAUCAUCGAAUCUUUGAACGCACAUUGCGCCCGCGAGUAUUCUCGCGGGCAUGCCUGUCCGAGCGUCAUUUCAACCCUCAGGGCCCGCCUGCUUCGGCAGGCGCGGCGCUGGUGUUGGGGAUCGACCUAACCGCCGUCCCCCAAAUACAGUGGCGGUCUCGCUGCAGCCUCCCCUGCGUAGUAGCAACACUCGCAUGCGGAGCGCGGCGCGGCCACGCCGUAAAACCCCCGACUUUCUGAACGUUGACCUCGGAUCAGGUAGGAAUACCCGCUGAACUUAAGCAUAUCAAUAAGCGGAGGA